UCCCCAUCCUCAUAUCCUCAUCAUGUCAUCGUUCUCCUGUCCCCAUUAUGUCCCUGUUCUCAUGUCCCCAUUCUCCUGCUCCAUCAUGUCCCCAUCCCCAUCGUGUCCCCGUCCCCAUCGUGUCCCCAACCCCAUUGUGUCCCCAUCUUCCUCUUUCCUUGUGUCCCCAUCAUGUCCCCAUUUUCCUGUCCCCAUCACGUCUUCAUGCUCCUGUCCCCAUUGUGUCCCUGUUCUCAUGUCCCCCUCCUUCCAUUCCUGUCCUUCUGUGCCUAUUGUGUCCCCAUCCCAUCUUUGACCUCCUGUUCCUUCGUGUCCCCAUAUUGUCCCCAUUUUCCUGUCUCCAUUCUUGUGUCCUCAUCAUGUCUUCAUUCUCCUGCCCCAUCGGGUCCCCAUUCCCAUUGUGUCCCAUCUUUGUGUCCCCAUCUUUGUGUCCCCAUCUUUGUGUCCCCAUCUUUGUGUCUCUAUUUUCGUGUCCUAUUCACGUCUUCAUUCUCUUGUCCCCAUGAUGUCCCUGUUCUCAUGUUCCCAUCUUCCUGCCCCAUUGUGUCCCAAUCACAUCACGUUUCUCCUGUCCCCACCACAUCCCCAUCGCGUCAUCAUCUGCUUGUCCCCAUCCUCCCAUCCCCAUCGCGUCCCCUGUCCCCAUCCCUUGUCCCCAUCCUCUGUCCCCAUCUCCCAUUCUUUGUCCCCAUCCCAUCCCCAUCUCCUGUCAGUUGUCCCCACCCUCUGUCCCCUGUCCCCAUUCCUGUCCUCUGUCCUCCAUCCCAUUCCCAUCCCCUGUCAAUUGUCCCCUGUCCCCAUCCCUCAUCCCAUUCCCAUCCCCUGUCAGUUGUCCCCAUUCCUGUCCCCAUCCCUGUCAAUUGCCCCCUGUCCCCAUCCCUGUCAGUUGUCCCUUGUCCCCAUCCCAUCCCUUGUCCCCAUUCCUGUCCCCAUCCCCCAUCCCCUGUCCCCAUCCCCAUCCAAUCCCCAUCCUCUGCCCCCUGUCCCUAUUCCUGUCCCCAUCCCAUUCCCAUCCCCUGUCAAUUGUCCCCAUCCCCUGUCCCCAUCCNNNNNNNNNNNNNNNNNNNNNNNNNNNNNNNNNNNNNNNNNNNNNNNNNNNNNNN
rnacentral:lncRNA from 1 species